rnacentral:rRNA from 1 species
AACGAACGCUGGCGGCAUGCCUAACACAUGCAAGUCGAACGAGACCUUCGGGUCUAGUGGCGCACGGGUGCGUAACGCGUGGGAACCUGCCCUUAGGUUCGGAAUAACUCCCCGAAAGGGGUGCUAAUACCGGAUAAUGUCUUCGGACCAAAGAUUUAUCGCCUUUGGAUGGGCCCGCGUUGGAUUAGCUAGUUGGUAGGGUAAAAGCCUACCAAGGCGACGAUCCAUAGCUGGUCUGAGAGGAUGAUCAGCCACGCUGGGACUGAGACACGGCCCAGACUCCUACGGGAGGCAGCAGUGGGGAAUAUUGGACAAUGGGCGAAAGCCUGAUCCAGCAAUGCCGCGUGAGUGAUGAAGGCCUUAGGGUUGUAAAGCUCUUUUACCCGGGAUGAUAAUGACAGUACCGGGAGAAUAAGCACCGGCUAACUCCGUG